CCAGAGAUGGAUUGGUGGCCUUCGGGAACUCUGACACAGGUGCUGCAUGGCUGUCGUCAGGCUCGUGUCGUGAGAUGUUGGGUUAAGUCCCGUAACGAGCGCAACCCUUGUCCUUAGUUACCAGGCACGUUAUGGUGGGCACUCUAAGGAGACUGCCGGUGGACAAACCGGAGGAAGGUGGGGAUGACGUCAAGUCAUCAUGGCCCUUACGGCCUGGGCUACACACGUGCUACAAUGGUCGGUACAAAGGGUUGCCAAGCCGCGAGGUGGAGCUAAUCCCAUAAAACCGAUCGUAGUCCGGAUCGCAGUCUGCAACUCGACUGCGUGAAGUCGGAAUCGCUAGUAAUCGUGAAUCAGAAUGUCACGGUGAAUACGUUCCCGGGCCUU
rnacentral:rRNA from 1 species